GGGAGUUAAGAAUGCCUAGUACCAUGAAUUCUGACCUUAAAAGAUUGAAGACAUUUUCAGUUUGAAAAACCAGCAGAUAUAGAUGUAUUUUAAAAUGUCAUUUAAAAAAUAAAGCUCUAUCUUCCUGGUAAAUGAUUUAUAUAAUUAUAUUAACAUAUAGCCUAUUUCCAAAUACUGCAUUAUAAACUACACACAGCAGUAAAAAAAAAAAAAAAAAAUGAUGGCAAAUAGAACCAAGUAAUGAGUGGCCAAAAUCUCAACUUAUGUUAUACUUCCAUGAGUUACUUAUGACUUUGAGGGUAUUCUGAAUUAACUUCUGGUUGUAAUACAUUUAGUUCCUAUUUAG
rnacentral:lncRNA from 1 species